UGGAGUGUAGCUCAGUGGUAGAGUACAUGCUUAGCAUGCAUGAAGGUCUUCGUGCAAGUCCCAGCACUUAAA
rnacentral:tRNA from 1 species